rnacentral:misc_RNA from 1 species
AAGUCGUAACAAGGUUUCCGUAGGUGAACCUGCGGAAGGAUCAUUAACACGUGAUUUCUUCACGUUUUAAACCACAGUAACCGUAUUUCCUGUUGUCUUGGAGAGUCGCAAGCGGACGAGGGGCGCCACUUGAGAAUACUCGGUUUGCCCGCUAGCUGGGAACCCAUUCAUUCUUCGCAAUGAUGAGGUUUCGCUCGGUGAGACUUCAGCGUAAUGAUUUCCUAUUUCCAACGCUUACACCCCGGCAUGGGUAGGAAACGAAAUUUUUUUACCUUUCUUUUUUUUCUACUAAUCCUUUGUACAGUCCUUUGAAUUCCUGGUUUCGGCUGGUCGAGUUCGACUGAUUGUCACAAUAUUAAUUCGAAACAACUCGUAGCAACGGAUAUCUUGGUUCUC